rnacentral:rRNA from 1 species
CAAUAGCGUAUAUUAAAGUUGUUGCAGUUAAAAAGCUCGUAGUUGGAUUUCUGAUCGAGACAUCAGGUCGGGUCCGAGAGGAUCAUGUACUUUGAUUUUGUUUUGAUCAUCCUUGGGGAGAGCAUUUCUGGCAUUCAGUUGUCGGGAUUGGGAUCCUCAUCGUUUACUGUGAAAAAAUUAGAGUGUUCAAAGCAGGCCUCGGCCUCUGAAUACAUUAGCAUGGAAUAAUAAGAUAGGACUUUGGUGGUCUAUUUUGUUGGUUUGCACGCCAAAGUAAUGAUUAAUAAGGAUAGUUGGGGGUAUUCGUAUUCAAUUGUCAGAGGUGAAAUUCUUGGAUUUAUGGAAGACGAACUACUGCGAAAGCAUUUACCAAGGAUGUUUUCAUUAA